ACUACUUUCCCCCUCACUGUACCUAAGUAUUUCUUUGGGGGCAGGGUUAUCUUAUUUAGUUCUGUCUUGCAUUUCUCACUUAGUUCUUCCUCAGUGUUUUGUAGUUCUUAGCACACAAAUGACACUCACUAGGUUUACUCCUAAGUAAGUUUUGUGGGCAUGUUUGUGUUACUGAAACACCUGAUAAGUUCUGGGAAGUGAUGACACCUUGUAGACAUAUUUUCUUUCCAAAUGAUUCUUGGGUUGGUUUAGGCUAUAAAAAUUGACCAAAAGUGGGUGCUGCAGUGUCUAGCUGGGCUGGAUGAAGGCAUCAGAUUUUACUCAACAGGCUCCACCCUGCCUCAGCUGGACAGGAAUCAUUGCAACGCAGGUUCCUGCUGAAGAAUGCACACACACACACACACACACACAGCUGGAGUUCCAGUGGGCUUUAUUGAGAUAAAUUAACAAAAGCAAAGAUUUUUAUCAACCAUCUUUUCUGAACUUUAUAACCUCAACAGAGACUCUGGUCCACAUGUGCAUCUACAAUGUAACGCCCAACAAAAAGGAAGCCCCACUGGAACAUUUGCC